GACGAACGCUGGCGGCGUGCCUAACACAUGCAAGUCGAACGGCAACGCCCUGCUUUCUUGGGGUUCCCGAUUGGCGAUCGGGUGCGUAUCACGUGUGUAACCUGCUCUUCUCUUUGGGAUGACUUCACGAAACUGGGCCUACUCUCGGAUCGGAUCCCCCCUUCCAUGGUGGGGGUUGGAACUUCUCGGCGGUCGCGGAUGGACUCGCGGGUUAUCGGCUUGCUGGUGGGGGAGUGGCUUACCCAGGCUUUGACGGGUAGCCGGCCUGAGAGGGUGACCGGCCACAAUGGGACUGAGAGAGGGCGCAGAGUCGUACGGUGGACAGCAGGGGGGAAUAUGGCACAAUGAGCGGAAGCCGGAGGAAGCGACGCCGCGGGCGGGAUGACGGCCUGCGGGGAAUAAACCGCAGUCGCCUGUGACGAAGCGGGAGUGACGGUAAUGGGUAAAGAAGCACCGGCUAACUACGUG
rnacentral:rRNA from 1 species